GAGAGAGAGAGACAGAGAGCGAGAGAGACAGAGAGAGAGAGAGAGAGAGAGAGAGAGAGAGAGAGAGAGAGAGAGGAGGUUUGAACAUUGGGUGGCCUAUCCACUACGGGUUGGCAUAGAUAUGAGUCGAUUGUUUGGGUGUGACACAGCUAUACGCCAGCCAGAGUACUAAGACGGAGCGCUGGGCUCAAAAAAGGUUCAUGUUUUUAUAUUACUGAAGUAGACAGCUGGAACUCUUAGAAAAUGAAAAGUACAGAACCUGAACCUAACUUGUCCAAGUAAUCUUAAGUCUAAAUAGGCCACUGAACUCUCAAGCCUCCUCCUCUCUCCACACGCAAAUCCUUUUCCAGAAUUUCACCCCUCCCCCCCCAUCCCUCUUCCCCCCCCCCCAUUCUUUCCCAGCACUUUGGACAUCAAAUCUGAAUCGGAGGCGCUAUAAUAGCCUUAAUAUAGCUCCUAUAUGUGCUAUACUAAGCCUAAAAAUUUUUAGUUUGGUUUAGACUAUUUUUUUCGCGCCUUCUACAAUAUUAAUGAUACAAAACGUGACUAACGUUGGCUGCAACAGUCCGUUCGUUGCAUCUGCAACAGUCCAUCCUGCUGGAAACGGUGUGUGUGCUAGUGCUUUACAAGACUGUUAAAACUCUUGUAUAUGUAAAUAAAAAAUAAAAAAAUGCACUGUGGAGGGAAGCGAGUCGUCUGGUCCGCCUCGCAUCCCGCCUCUCCUCUGUGUUGCUGAUAUUGCUGCCCCCUGUUAAUAUAUGUUGUUAAUUACCCCCUGUUAAUAUAUGUUGUUAAUUACCCCCUGUUAAUAUAUGUUGUUAAUUACCCCCUGUUAAUAUAUGUUGUUAAUUACCCCCUGUUAAUAUAUGUUGUUAAUUACCCCCUGUUAAUAUAUGUUGUUAAUUACCCCCUGUUAAUAUAUGUUGUUAAUUACCCCCUGUUAAUAUAUGUUGUUAAUUACCCCCUGUUAAUAUAUGUUGUUAAUUACCCCCUGUUAAUAUAUGUUGUUAAUUACCCCCUGUUAAUAUAUGUUGUUAAUUACCCCCUGCUAAUAUAUGUUGUUAAUUACCCCCUGUUAAUAUAUGUUGUUAAUUACCCCCUGUUAAUAUAUGUUGUUAAUUACCCCCUGUUAAUAUAUGUUGUUAAUUACCCCCUGUUAAUAUAUGUUGUUAAUUACCCCCUGCUAAUAUAUGUUGUUAAUUACCCCCUGUUAAUAUAUGUUGUUAAUUACCCCCUGCUAAUAUAUGUUGUUAAUUACCCCCUGCUAAUAUAUGUUGUUAAUUACCCCCUGUUAAUAUAUGUUGUUAAUUACCCCUGUUAAUAUAUGUUGUUAAUUACCCCCUGUUAAUAUAUGUUGUUAAUUACCCCCUGCUAAUAUAUGUUGUUAAUUACCCCCUGUUAAUAUAUGUUGUUAAUUACCCCCUGUUAAUAUAUGUUGUUAAUUACCCCUGUUAAUAUAUGUUGUUAAUUACCCCCUGUUAAUAUAUGUUGUUAAUUACCCCCUGUUAAUAUAUGUUGUUAAUUACCCCCUGUUAAUAUAUGUUGUUAAUUACCCCUGUUAAUAUAUGUUGUUAAUUACCCCCUGUUAAUAUAUGUUGUUAAUUACCCCCUGUUAAUAUAUGUUGUUAAUUACCCCUGUUAAUAUAUAUUGUUAAUUACCCCUGUUAAUAUAUGUUGUUAAUUACCCCCUGCUAAUAUAUGUUGUUAAUUACAAUCGGUUAGCUCAUAUAUAGUGUGCGAUAGUGCCCAGUCAGCACAUUCCCUGGAGUAACGCUAUGAGUACAAAGUACAAAGAUUUGCAUAAGUACAAAGAUUUGCUAAGAGCGUUAAGCUAUAAGAAUAGGUUAAUGGAACUAAAUUAAACAAACAGAGGGGAUAUGAUCACAACUUACAAGAUACAGGGCUGAAGAGACAAGGUGGACAAUGACAUCCUUACCUGGAGAGGGUUCUGAGAGUUCUUCUCCUCAAUGUAUUAUGAGAGCUUGGUCCAAGAGGACAUAUUCACUACAGCCUGGUUGGCCUCUUCAUAUUAUAGACUGUAGGACACAGAGGACACAGAGGACACAGAGGACACAGAGGACACAGAGGACACAGAGGACGCAGAGGACACAGAGGACACAGAGAACACAGAGAACACAGAGGACACAGAGGACACAGAGGACACAGAGGACGCAGAGGACGCAGAGGACACAGAGGACACAGAGAACACAGAGGACACAGGUAGAAGCUGGAAACGCAAAUCAGCCGAAACAAUGAGAAGAAAACACAGGUACCUUGUACAGGUGGUCAACAAAUGUACUGUACUGAGAGACCUUGUGGAAGUAACCUCCGUCCACAACUUUAAGGACAAAUUUUACAAAGAAUUGAACGUCCAGAUAGUUAAACUGAAACACAACUGGUUCAACAAGGCCAGAUGGCGGGGCACAAGAUGUAACCCCCCCCUCCCGCCACGCUGGCACUGAUAGGUACGUACAGGUUGUGGUGACGUCACAACUUUGAGGUGAGUCACCUGGCAACGUCAGGCAGUAGUGACGUCACAAGUACACGCAACACACACACACACACACGCACGCACACUCUUACACCACCUGGGGAAAACACGUCAACGGGACCUAAAAUAAUCCAUUUCUUUCGUUAAUCUUAAUUAAUCUUCAUAAAUACUUUAAGUUAUGGCAGUUAGUAAUGCCAUGACUAUGGUUAACUAUGGUAAAAAUAAUCAGGUUCCGUAAACAGAACCAAGGUGGCACCGGGAGCGCUAGCGACGUCUGGCACUCCCUCGCCUUGCCACAUAAAUACGAGUUCUGCCACAGUUGCUGCAUCAGUCGUCCGUCGACCGCCCAGCAGUUAUGUCUGGGUCCUCCGACUGGGAGGAAGACAAGCGUGGUGGGUGGGAGAGAGGCGGUAUUGACCCGUCCUGCCCCCGGAGACUGGCUCGUUGGGCCCUCUCCGGGGGCAGGACACAUUCCUACCUCAGUGACGCCUGGCCUCACCUUCCGACACAUGGCGAGGACCUCCUGACGAAGCUGUGAUGCGCCUGCUGGACCCACCAACACCUGUCCGAUCUACCACACAUGCUGGGGACCCACCAACACCUGUCCGGUCCACCACAAGUGCUGGGGACCCACCAACACCUGUCCGGUCCACCACAAGUGCUGGGGACCCACCAACACCUGUCCGGUCCACCACAAGUGCUGGGGACCCACCAACACCUGUCCUGGUCCACCACACAUGCUGGGGACCCACCAACACCUGUC